UGCAGUCGAACGAUGAUGCCCAGCUUGCUGGGUUGAUUAGUGGCGAACGGGUGAGUAACACGUGAGUAACCUGCCCCUGACUCUGGGAUAAGCGUUGGAAACGACGUCUAAUACUGGAUAUGAUCGCCGGCCGCAUGGUCUGGUGGUGGAAAGAUUUUUUGGUUGGGGAUGGACUCGCGGCCUAUCAGCUUGUUGGUGAGGUAAUGGCUCACCAAGGCGACGACGGGUAGCCGGCCUGAGAGGGUGACCGGCCACACUGGGACUGAGACACGGCCCAGACUCCUACGGGAGGCAGCAGUGGGGAAUAUUGCACAAUGGGCGAAAGCCUGAUGCAGCAACGCCGCGUGAGGGAUGACGGCCUUCGGGUUGUAAACCUCUUUUAGUAGGGAAGAAGCGAAAGUGACGGUACCUGCAGAAAAAGCACCGGCUAACUACGUGCCAGCAGCCGCGGUAAUACGUAGGGUGCAAGCGUUGUCCGGAAUUAUUGGGCGUAAAGAGCUCGUAGGCGGUUUGUCGCGUCUGCUGUGAAAUCCCGAGGCUCAACCUCGGGCUUGCAGUGGGUACGGGCAGACUAGAGUGCGGUAGGGGAGAUUGGAAUUCCUGGUGUAGCGGUGGAAUGCGCAGAUAUCAGGAGGAACACCGAUGGCGAAGGCAGAUCUCUGGGCCGUAACUGACGCUGAGGAGCGAAAGCAUGGGGAGCGAACAGGAUUAGAUACCCUGGUAGUCCAUGCCGUAAACGUUGGGCGCUAGAUGUAGGGACCUUUCCACGGUUUCUGUGUCGUAGCUACGCAUUAAGC
rnacentral:rRNA from 1 species